rnacentral:rRNA from 1 species
UACGAAGGGUGCAAACGUUGCUCGGAAUCAUUGGGCGUAAAGCGCACGUAGGCGGCUUCGCAAGUCGGAUGUGAAAUCCCUCGGCUCAACCGAGGACGUGCAUACGAAACUGCGGAGCUUGAGUGCUGAAGAGGAUCGCGGAAUUCCCGGUGUAGAGGUGAAAUGCGCAGAUAUCAGGAGGAACACCGGUGGCGAAGGCGGUUCUCUGGGCAUGUCCUGACGCUGAGGCGCGACAGCGUGGGGAGCGAACAGG